AUGGGCAUGUUGGAUCCCUGCUCGGGCAGCGACGACAUCUCACCCACGACUCUUCAGUUGUUGGCUCGAGCUCUUGCUCGAUCGAUGUUGGCUUUCCUGUGCUGAAUACCUAUCGCGAAGGCAUUCCGUCGGCUUUGGUUAUCUAUUUCCCGCUUUGUACCGCCGCUCCCUGUGGGCAAGCGGUGCGGGGUGGGCUAAAUAGCGCACGUCGUGUAUUGCGCUCCUUAACGGGUGUUCGGGUUGACAGUCCACGACGUGAUGCUCGCUCUCUCGGGUACGGAACAUUAUGUGGGYAUGAGGCCAUCGGUCUCCUAGCACCACGAACAAGCGUUCUACGCUUCGUGCGGAUGACGGUUGGUUCGGUCUUUGGCCGUGCUCUUGUGGCUCGGU
rnacentral:misc_RNA from 1 species